rnacentral:rRNA from 1 species
UCUUCCGCAAUGGACGAAAGUCUGACGGAGCAACGCCGCGUGUGUGAUGAAGGUUUUCGGAUCGUAAAACUCUGUUGUUAGGGAAGAACAAGUACCGUCCGAAUAGGGCGGUACCUUUACGGUACCUAACCAGACAGCCACGGCUAACUACGUGCCAGCAGCCGCGCUAAUAUGUAGGUGGCAAGCGUUGUCCGGAAUUAUUGGGCGUAAAGAGCGCGCAGGCGGUUUCUUAAGUCUGAUGUGAAAGCCCCCGGCUCAACCGGGGAGGGUCAUUGGAAACUGGGGAACUUGAGUGCAGAAGAGGAGAGUGGAAUUCCACGUGUAGCGGUGAAAUGCGUAGAGAUGUGGAGGAACACCAGUGGCGAAGGCGACUCUCUGGUCUGUAACUGACGCUGAGGCGCGAAAGCGUGGGGAGCGAACAG